rnacentral:rRNA from 1 species
UACGUAGGGUGCGAGCGUUAAUCGGAAUUACUGGGCGUAAAGUGUGCGCAGGCGGCCGAGCAAGUCGAGUGUGAAAUCCCGGAGCUCAACUCCGGAACUGCCUUUGAUACUGGGGAUCUUGGAGUCCGGGUGAGGUGAGUGGAACUGCGAGUGUAGAGGUGAAAUUCGUAGAUAUUCGCAAGAACACCAGUGGCGAAGGCGGCUCACUGGCCCGGUACUGACGCUGAGGUGCGAAAGCGUGGGGAGCAUACAGG